GUGUCAGCCGCCGCGGUAAUACGUAGGUGGCGAGCGUUGUCCGGAAUUACUGGGCGUAAAGGGCGCGCAGGCGGUUCGUUAAGUCUGGGGUGAAAUCCUUCGGCUCAACCGGAGGGGGACCCUGGAUACUGGCGGGCUUGAGUGUGGGAGAGGGAAGCGGAAUUCCACGUGUAACGGUGAAAUGUAUAGAUAUGUGGAGGAACACCGGUGGCGAAGGCGGCUUCCUGGACCAUAACUGACGCUGAGGCGCGAAAGCUGGGGGAGCGAACAGGAUUAGAAACCCUCGUAGUCC
rnacentral:rRNA from 1 species